GAUGAACGCUGGCGGCGUGCCUAAUACAUGCAAGUCGAGCGAACGGACGAGAAGCUUGCUUCUCUGAUGUUAGCGGCGGACGGGUGAGUAACACGUGGAUAACCUACCUAUAAGACUGGGAUAACUUCGGGAAACCGGAGCUAAUACCGGAUAAUAUUUUGAACCGCAUGGUUCAAAAGUGAAAGACGGUCUUGCUGUCACUUAUAGAUGGAUCCGCGCUGCAUUAGCUAGUUGGUAAGGUAACGGCUUACCAAGGCAACGAUGCAUAGCCGACCUGAGAGGGUGAUCGGCCACACUGGAACUGAGACACGGUCCAGACUCCUACGGGAGGCAGCAGUAGGGAAUCUUCCGCAAAGGGCGAAAGCCUGACGGAGCAACGCCGAGUGAGUGAUGAAGGUCUUCGGAUCGGAAAACUCUGUUAUUAGGGAAGAACAUAUGUGUAAGUAACUGUGCACAUCUUGACGGUACCUAAUCAGAAAGCCACGGCUAACUACGUG
rnacentral:rRNA from 1 species